rnacentral:rRNA from 1 species
GACGAACCGAGCGAACGUUGUUCGGAAUCACUGGGCUUAAAGGGCGCGUAGGCGGGCUGUCAAGUUUGGGGUGAAAUCCCGCGGCUCAACCGUGGAACUGCCUCAAAUACUGACGGUCUCGAGGGAGGUAGGGGCGAGCGGAACUGAUGGUGGAGCGGUGAAAUGCGUUGAUAUCAUCAGGAACUCCGGUGGCGAAGGCGGCUCGCUGGACCUUUUCUGACGCUGAGGCGCGAAAGCUAGGGGAGCAAACGGG